GGAAUAACGAGGUGGGGCCUGUUUCAGUAAUUAAAUAUAAUUUAAUCUUUAAGUCAAAAAGCUUAAAUUCUCCCGCAGGACGAGAAGACCCCAUAGAUCUUUAUAUAGAAAAUUUUAUAAGCCGUUGGAGUUAAAUCAAUAAAACAUUAAUAUAUUUAGUUGGGGUGACGCGAAGUCAUAAACACUUCUGGCAACACAAAAAUUUAAGGGCACAUGACCCGGUUAGCCGAUCAAAAAAUUAAGUUACCUUGGGGAUAACAGCGUAAUCUGUCUUUAGAGUCCUUAUCAAACGACAGGUUUGCGACCUCGAUGUUGGAUUAAGAUUCUCUUUAUGAGUAGCCCCAUAUAAGGAAGGUCUGUUCG
rnacentral:rRNA from 1 species